rnacentral:rRNA from 1 species
ACGCGAAGAACCUUACCUGGGCUCGAACGGCUUUGGAAACUCCUUGGAAACAGGGAUUUCCCGCAAGGGACCGGAGUCGAGGUGCUGCAUGGCUGUCGUCAGCUCGUGUCGUGAGAUGUUGGGUUAAGUCCCGCAACGAGCGCAACCCUUGUCCUGUGUUGCCACUCCCCUUAAAAGGAAGCACUCGCAGGAGACCGCCAGCGAUAAGCUGGAGGAAGGUGGGGAUGAUGUCAAGUCAUCAUGGCCUUUAUGUCCAGGGCUACACACGUGCUACAAUGGACGGUACAAAGCGCUGCAAACCCGCGAGGGGGAGCUAAUCGCAAAAAGCCGUUCUCAGUUCGGAUCGCAGGCUGCAACUCGCCUGCGUGAAGCUGGAAUCGCUAGUAAUGGCGUAUCAGAACGAUGCCGUGAAUACGUUCCCGGGUCUUGUACACACCG